GUCGUCGCCGACAACGAGCGCUGCCCGCCCGCCUGCCUGCCUGCCUGCCUGUGGCGGCCGAACAAAACGAAAUUUGCCUAAAGAGGUUUCUUUUCAUCCUUUGUCUGUUUCGAUUAGGUCCUCUCACUCAAGAUAAAGAUUAAAUCUUGCCGUAGUUUUUGUUUCGCGGGUAUAAAUUUUUUUGCAUGGAUUGUCUUUGGGCCGGAAAGGCGGAAAGCUCUGAUUCUUCAAGUGCGCUUCUUGCAGUUCUUGCAAGAUGAACAAGGGUCCAAAGCUUGAUAUUGCAAUGGAUCGAGCUCCUGGACAUGGAGCAACUUCAUGAAUGUGAUCCUGAUGACAGAUGGUACUCGCUAGUGCUUUAAUAACUUUGUAAACAAGGAUGUUCUGUUCUGCUCACUGCUCAGACAAUAUAAUUCGUGGAGAAAAUGAGAAAUGCUCGGUUUGUGCCAAGUGCAUCGGUAUAUAGCUAUAAGCCAUGUGAUCAGUAUACCCGUCAGCGAAUGCGUAGCAGAUGGUGUGCAUAUUAUUUGCUAACGCUGAUGAGAAUGGAGGGCAGAAAUCAUGAAGUCAUCAUAGUAAGAUUAUCGCUGGUUUCGUUUUGGUAAAUAAUUUUUAUGAAGCAGAUGAAUUGUUUGAUGAAAUUCUUCAGAGGGGUCCCCCCGGGUCCUGUUACUUUGCUACUUAUAAGACCUAUACAAAUGGCCUCCAUAAUAAGCAAGUGUAUCUUUAUCAAACUCGUCAAAUGCUAUUCUGCAUGAAGGAGCUGGUUCCAGCCUUGAUUUAUAGAACUUCAACACUUUGAUGGGAUGAUUACGAAGCAAUGGAACUCAUGCAGGAGGUUUGCAGGAAGAGCCUUCAAGUGAAUUCUCAUAUGAAAUCUAGGGUUAUUCUCAAGAAGGUGGAGGAAGUACAACAUCUAAAAAAAAGAUAGCACAGUCCACGAAACUCCCGCUAAUGCAGGAAAGGGUUAUUGUACACAGCCUUAACCUACUUUGCAAGAGAUUGUUUCCGAGACUCAAACCCCCCGUGACCUCUAGGUCACACAGUAAUAACUUUACAGGUGGAGAAAGUUCAAUAACUAUUGACAAAACAUGGCAAACAAGGGCCUUUGACAUGGUAUUUUUCCAACGUUGUUUUGUCAAGACUUCUCUACUUUGAGGCACAACUGAAAUGCAUUAGGAGUUGUUCAGCUUCCAACGUACUAAAUCUUGUACGCUUUUGCUGGUUGGGCUCUAAGUGUCUGUCAUGAACCCUUGGUUGCCUUGACAUCAUUUUAGAACCUUCACUCAAAUUGUAUGCCAUUUAAAGUUUACUGAAUGUGAAGCUGAAGAUGGAGUCAGUAUAUGCAAAAAAAUAAUUUUCACCGCCAACUGCCACAAACCUGCAGAUGGAAGUGAUGAGAAUUUUUGCUUUGAAUAGCUGGAUUGAAAGUGUCACCCUCAAGGUCUGGUUUGCUAGGUGAAGUUGAUGAAUGAACAGUGGCGUGUUUAAUUUUUUUAGUGAAACAGAGCGAGGAGGAGUGGAUUUGGUGUCGAGGAAGAUGAAAGGGACCAGACAGCUAAAUGCUCAGGCAAAGUCAUGAUUGUUGUUUUCAGAUGAAAAAAAGAAGGGAAAUUAUGUUGAGAAAUUGUAUAAUGAAACUGACAUCGAAUGCUGGAAUUGGAUACUAGUUAUGAACUGGUGGUGUUAUCAUUUGGCCAAUGUGCCACCUUAAAGUCUUGUGAUAAACAUUGUUGUGCAUUUAUUUCCUUUUAAACCCAACACUAGUUGGAUUUUAUUUAUUUCAUUGUUUGCU